CCUACGGGGGGCUGCAGUAAGGAAUAUUGGUCAAUGGACGCAAGUCUGAACCAGCCAUGCCGCGUGAAGGAUGAAGGCCCUCUGGGUUGUAAACUUCUUUUACCUGGGACGAAACAUGAGAAUUCUUUCUCACUUGACGGUACCAGAGGAAUAAGCACCGGCUAACUCCGUGCCAGCAGCCGCGGUAAUACGGAGGGUGCAAGCGUUAUCCGGAUUCCCUGGGUUUAAGGGGUGCGUAGAAGUCAGUAUUGAAAUCUCCAAGCUUAACUUGGAAACUGCCAUUGAUACUAUAGGUCUUGAAUUAUCUGGAGGUAAGCGGAAUAUGUCAUGUAGCGGUGAAAUGCUUAGAUAUGACAUAGAACACCCAUUGCGAAGGCAGCUUACUACGGAUAGAUUGACACUGAGGCACGAAAGCGUGGGGAUCAAACAGGAUUAGAUACCCCGGUAGUC
rnacentral:rRNA from 1 species